AGCAUUCGUGGAAAAAGGGAUAAGAAUUGAAAGGCAGCCUAAUAGGCCUCAGCUUCCUGUCAACGAACCGUUAUAGAUGCUCUCACAAACUAGAAUUUCUAAACCAUGCUUGCACUUUCAACCACGACAAAUUAUUAAAUCCUCUCCAUGAAGCAGACAUUCACUAAAUUCGUGUUCCUGAGCCUGCUUGGGGUCGGAAAUGUGUGUUGCAAUGGGAGGAUCCUG
rnacentral:lncRNA from 1 species